rnacentral:rRNA from 1 species
UACAGAGGGUGCGAGCGUUAAUCGGAAUUACUGGGCGUAAAGUGUGCGCAGGUGGCCGCGCAAGUCGAGUGUGAAAUCCCCGGGCUUAACUUGGGAAUUGCGCUCGAAACUACGUGGCUCGAGUGUGGCAGAGGGAGGUGGAAUUCCACGUGUAGCGGUGAAAUGCGUAGAGAUGUGGAGGAACACCAAUGGCGAAGGCAGCCUCCUGGGCCAACACUGACACUCAGGCACGAAAGCGUGGGGAGCAAACAGG